rnacentral:tRNA from 1 species
GCUUAGAUAGUUUAACUAAAGCGCCGGCCUUGUAAGCCGGAAAUAGGGACAUAAUGUCCCUUCUAAGUU